CAUCCAAGGCUAAGUACGUGGGAGACGCCGAUAGCGAACAAGUACGGCGACGGAAAGGUGAAAAGAACCUCGAAAAGGGGGGGUCAAAAAGCGCUCGAAAUCGUAGAGGGGGAAGCGGACCUGACCGACGAGACCUCGUCGUCGCUCGCGCUCGACCCACGCUUCGUCGCGGAGUUCCGGAGGGCUCGCCCCCGGAGCCGCGGCGCGGCGGGGGUCGGGAGGCGCUCGGCGGCGGGGCCGCUUGCGCGGGACCGGCGUCGCGCCGAACGAGAGGUCGCCUCGGCUCGCCCGAAAGGACGCGCCGGGGGGCCGCCCGGAGGCGCGGCGUCGGCCCGAGGGAGAAGGAGAUCGCAUCGCGGGGCAACGGGUCGAACCCGAGGGGCCCGUCGCCGUUCCCGAGCCGCGAGGCUCGGAGCGGAGGCGGGCUCCCCGGCGAGGCUCGACCCCAGGUUUUCGAAUGGCGUAGGCGAGACGGUCCCGUCCGACCCGUCUCGUAACACGGACCAAGGAGUCUA
rnacentral:rRNA from 1 species